rnacentral:lncRNA from 1 species
GAUGCUUUAAGGGCUGUCAAACUGUCCAUCAAACUGUCACCUGACCAAUCGUUCCCAUGGUUCUUUUAGACUUCUCGUAUGAUAAAUUGAAAGGCACUAUUAUCUGCCUGUUGUGAAGAGGAACUGCUUAGGCUUUGAUAAGAUAUCACUAGUCCCAGGUGAGAGGAGCCUGACAGCACAUCAAGACAAGAAAACACAUGGAAACAGUGAACACAGGAGCAAAAGAUUGACAGCAGUCCUUUACACGCUGUGGACAAACCCUAUUCACUGGAGAAAGAAAUCCACAAAAGUCAAAAAUCCACAAAACAGGACUUUAGUGGUGGCAAGUACACCUCCAAAACAUACUCCUCCAAAAUAUACUCCUCCAAAACUACUACUAAAGGAAGAAGCACCAGUGCAGAGGAGGAAGGGACUCUUCACAUGGCAUUGAGAAAAUAGAAUUGCAUGUAGAGACUGGGGAGAAGAAACUGCACUCUGUGUGAGAAUCUGAUAACUGGGCUGUAGAGGGAAAGCUGGAUUUGAUUGGGCAACAGCAGGGAAAAAGGGCAGGGCACAGUCAUACUGGGCUCAGCACAUGGACAGAAGGCUUCAGGACAGUACAGGGCAAAGUUGUGGAGGGUUUCAAAGACAGGCACAACAGCUGAAUGAUCUCAAAAGUGGAUUUGCACAGCCAGAUCCCUCUGGGUUUAUAAAACCUUCUGGACUUCUGCAAGACCCUGUGUACAGAGAGGAUGUGAAAACAGAGUGCAGUAAAGUGUCAGCCUUAUCAUGGAGGCUCCCUCCUUUUGGACCUUGGCCCUGCCCAUGUGUACAAGUAAGUGAAUGGAAGCAAAUGUAA